rnacentral:rRNA from 1 species
AUGGUAGGAGAGCGUUCUAAGGGCGUUGAAGCAUGAUCGUAAGGACAUGUGGAGCGCUUAGAAGUGAGAAUGCCGGUGUGAGUAGCGAAAGACGGGUGAGAAUCCCGUCCACCGAUUGACUAAGGUUUCCAGAGGAAGGCUCGUCCGCUCUGGGUUAGUCGGGUCCUAAGCUGAGGCCGACAGGCGUAGGCGAUGGAUAACAGGUUGAUAUUCCUGUACCACCUAUAAUCGUUUUAAUCGAUGGGGGGACGCAGUAGGAUAGGCGAAGCGUGCGAUUGGAUUGCACGUCUAAGCAGUAAGGCUGAGUAUUAGGCAAAUCCGGUACUCAUUAAGGCUGAGCUGUGAUGGGGAGAAGACAUUGUGUCUUCGAGUCGUUGAUUUCACACUGCCGAGAAAAGCCUCUAGAUAGAAAAUAGGUGCCCGUACCGCAAACCGACACAGGUAGUCAAGAUGAGAAUUCUAAGGUGAGCGAGCGAACUCUCGUUAAGGAACUCGGCAAAAUGACCCCGUAACUUCGGGAGAAGGGGUGCUCUUUAGGGUUAACGCCCAGAAGAGCCGCAGUGAAUAGGCCCAAGCGACUGUUUAUCAAAAACACAGGUCUCUGCUAAACCGUAAGGUGAUGUAUAGGGGCUGACGCCUGCCCGGUGCUGGAAGGUUAAGAGGAGUGGUUAGCUUCUGCGAAGCUACGAAUCGAAGCCCCAGUAAACGGCGGCCGUAACUAUAACGGUCCUAAGGUAGCGAAAUUCCUUGUCGGGUAAGUUCCGACCCGCACGAAAGGCGUAACGAUUUGGGCACUGUCUCAACGAGAGACUCGGUGAAAUCAUAGUACCUGUGAAGAUGCAGGUUACCCGCGACAGGACGGAAAGACCCCGUGGAGCUUUACUGUAGCCUGAUAUUGAAAUUCGGCACAGCUUGUACAGGAUAGGUAGGAGCCUUUGAAACGUGAGCGCUAGCUUACGUGGAGGCGCUGGUGGGAUACUACCCUAGCUGUGUUGGCUUUCUAACCCGCACCACUUAUCGUGGUGGGAGACAGUGUCAGGCGGGCAGUUUGACUGGGGCGGUCGCCUCCUAAAAGGUAACGGAGGCGCUCAAAGGUUCCCUCAGAAUGGUUGGAAAUCAUUCAUAGAGUGUAAAGGCAUAAGGGAGCUUGACUGCGAGACCUACAAGUCGAGCAGGGUCGAAAGACGGACUUAGUGAUCCGGUGGUUCCGCAUGGAAGGGCCAUCGCUCAACGGAUAAAAGCUACCCCGGGGAUAACAGGCUUAUCUCCCCCAAGAGUUCACAUCGACGGGGAGGUUUGGCACCUCGAUGUCG